rnacentral:rRNA from 1 species
AGUAUGUGGUUUAAUUCGACGCAACGCGCAGAACCUUUACCUAGACUUGACAUCCCGGGGAUUUUCUGGAAACAGAGAAGUGCUUUAGCAAUAAAGAACCCGGUGACAGGUGCUGCAUGGCUGUCGUCAGCUCGUGUCGUGAGGUGUUGGGUUAAGUCCCGCAACGAGCGCAACCCUCGCCUUUAGUUGCCAGCAUUCAGUUGGGCACUCUAGAGGGACUGCCGGUGUCAAACCGGAGGAAGGUGGGAUGACGUCAAGUCCUCAUGGCCUUUAUGUCUAGGGCUACACACGUACUACAAUGGCCGGUACAAAGGGCAGCCACUCAGCGAUGAGGCGCUAAUCCCAUAAAGCCGGUCUCAGUCCGGAUCGCAGUCUGCAACUCGACUGCGUGAAGUUGGAAUCGCUAGUAAUCGUAGAUCAGCAUGCUACGGUGAAUACGUUCCCGGGCCUU